CUCGAACUGUAGGGGCGUCUUCCCGCGUAUAGCAGCCAUGAUGUGGGACUUGUCGGUGGCUGAGGUGCAGUGAACUAUAACAUCCCGUGGCGUGUUGGUGGUUCCGGAACCAGGGAUGCGGUAUAUCCCUUCUAGGGUGAGUCUCUUGGCCACCACGGGUGGCAUGAUAGUGGCUAGCAGCCUCCGGGUAUAAUGAGGCAGCU